AACAUUCGUUUUGCUGCUACGAAACAAUUCAUAUUGAUUGCAUUGAUUUCUCUUUCAGCAUUCUCGUUUAAGUCAUAGGCUACUUACUUUAUGAAAAGCUUGAAGUCUAGCAGCCAUAAAAAUGCACAUUUUCCUAGUUCUCGUAUGUUUUUAUAUUGUAGGUUCUACCCGAGCGCUCUACUUUUACAUAAAGAAGGAAGAAAAUAAGUGUUUUCUUCAGGAAUUGCCCUCGAACACCAAUUUACUAGGCUAUUACAAAUCCACUCCCGUCUUGGAAUAUUCAUCUACAUUUUCACUUGAAGAAGAAGCACAGAAAACAAAAAUUAAAGUGGAAAUUCAGGAUCCCGGAAAAAGCAUCACUUUCUCAAAAUUAUACCGGCUGGAAGGUGUCUUCAGCUUCACGUCACACAAUCCAGGAAGUUAUUUGAUAUGUUUAAAACCAGAAGAAAAUAACUACUCUUGGAAUAAACUUAAAAUUCACUUCGCUUUACAAGUGGGAGAACGUGCUAUUAACUACACAGCUGUUGCUCAGAAAGAAAAACUAUCAGAAAUAGAAUUGAAAUUUAAACAGCUAAUUGAAAAGGUUUCAGAAGUUAGCAAGGAACAAGAAUACCAAAGAUACAGAGAAGAAACGUUCCGAGCAAGCACUGAGAAGAUCAGCUGGAGAAUUCUUUUAUGGUCCGUAGCACAGACGAUAAUAUUAAUUCUUACUGGCAUUUGGCAACUGCAAAAUAUGAUUAAUUUUUUUGAAUCAAAAAAGUUAGUGUAAUUCCAAACAUAAUGCUAUCUCAAUGCAUGGAUCAUUUAACUGAAUUUGAGUUUCCUUUUACUGAUAUAGUUUGAUUUACUUUUAAUAAUGAUAAAAUUCUUGAAGUACAAAUCGAGCUCGGUUUUAAUGAGUAAGGUAUCGGCUUAUCUUAGAUAAAAAUUACAUCGCAACGCGAAUUUAUGUGAUCAUUUUCUCCUUUCUAUUACUAUCAUUUAUUGAAUUAUUUUUAUUUAAUUUUAAUAGUUGCUGAAGCGCCUUUUCUAAACUUAUAGGAAUAAAAAAGACUGAAAUUCAAGAAUAUCUAAUAUACUAUCCGUUUAUUUAAUGCGGAACUAUGGAAAAACUACUAUUGCAAUCCACCAGAAACACAAAACUGUCUAUGAAAAAUACAAAAUAGUAAAGAAAAAUGCUUAGCUAGCAACGAUAUAUAACAGUGCAUACUACAGCAAUAUCUGGCAACUGCUUUUAACAACAACAAUCCGCAAUUCAAUGGUACAGGUAAUAUGGAACGUAUAAACAUUGUUAACCAUUCAUUAAAAGCAAAUUGCUCAGUCUUAAAAUAUAUAUCACGUGUAGAGCCAUUAACUUCUGUUUCACAAUGAGUUAUAUCAGGAGCAAUGUAAGCGAAAACUAACAGCAUGCAAACUUUGAAGACAAAAAGAAAGGAGGAGGUUGCAAGCGCGAUACAGAGCGAGAACUUCAAAUUCUGUUUUAUACAGCCAAAUGAACCACCUGAAUUAAACUGCUUGAAAGCACAGGUUUCUUCAUCUUUUCUGGGAUUUCACGGCAGCUAGGGGAAAGAAACUAUAUAAGAGAGCAUCAGCUCUCAUAUUUUUCUGUUCAGAGCUGACUUCGGAACAUUGGGAUACCUUCGUAUGAGCCUAUUAGAUGCACUUUGCAUUGCAAUGUGUUUAUUGUUCUUAGUGGUUCAAAGUGUAACUACUGAUUGUGCUCUGUGAUACUAAGAAGAUCUGUACGAGUACU
rnacentral:misc_RNA from 1 species